GGCCACAUUCGUCAGAAAGCUGAUUGUGUUUUGUUGGUGUGAAAGAAUAACUCCACUGAGAAGUCUUACUUGGUUAACCAAUGGCCCUUUCUAGUAACAUUUGUGUAGGGGUGGCUGGUUGUGAUAAACAGCUAGGAAGGGGGUACCAGGUGCUAAUAUUUCUUUUUGACCUUAGUCUUGGAAGACAAAUGAUGGCCUGGACCUGGACCACCACAGCGUGGCGAGAAGCGACCACUAUAGUCAGGGCUGGACUACACCAAGAACUGUCUUCCUUUACCAGAGCCUCCUCCAGCCAUUUACACCUGGGAAUGAGUUCAUUUCCUUCUUAACUGGCUUGCAGGGUCCAUCACUGCACUAUUUCGGCAGAAUUCGAACUGCUGCGUGUGGCUGAGAUCACUGUUGUCAGAGGCGAAUGAGAGGCUGUAGCCUACAUACCAACUACUCUACUCCCCUGAGGUCCUGGCUUUCCAGACCUGAGGCUCAUAGGAAACUCGACCUGUUGACUAGAUUCCCUUCUCCCCCUGCACAGGCCUGAUAGCCACAGUUCUGCAUUCUUGCUGUGUUCACUUGACUAGGGUCUUUAUCUCAGUGAACGUGUACAAUACUUGUCCUUUCACGGCAGCCUGCUUCCACUUGCCAUUGUGUCUUCAUGCUCCAUCCAUGUUGAGGCAUGUACCAGGUCUGCAUUUCCACAUUCCAUGGUGCAAUGCUGCAUUAUGUCAGUGCAUCCAUCCGCUGCUGAACACAUCAGCAUUCGCAGGCGAUUCUUUGGGAGACAGUGGUUGGAGAUUUCCUUGCCUAUUUGAGCCCAUACAGAGGUUACUAUGUCAAGAGAGGCCCCAGUCCAAUCUGACCCUGUCCUUAUGAGAGCAUUUGGACAUGCAGACUCAGGGUGUGGAGGAAGGAAGGGGACCACCUUUAAGCUGGGGAGAGUCCUCAGGAGAAAGGCAACCUUCAAGCCCUUGACCAUCAACUUCACAACUCCAAAACCAUGAGAAAACAGAUUUCUGUAGGGAAAGCUACCAAGGCUGCAGAAUUCUGUCUGCCACGGUAAUUGGGUCUGAAGGGGACGAUACUCAUUAAGACAGAUGUGUGCCAUUAUGUUCCUAAAGAGCCUCUUACCUCCCUUUCAGUUCCUGCCUUGUCUUUAUCAUGGAAACGUUUGUGCAUUUAGCUUCCCACCUUUUCUUUCCCUCCAAGAGCUUAAGUCCUUCAAAGACUCCUAUGACCUGACUCUUAAACCAAGGCUGCAGCCUGUCUGUUUCUUUAAUCCACAGCUGGGUUUCUUUGAUACUCUCUCUGGUCAAAAGGCUCUGUUCUCAAUGGGGCUCAGUUCACAGGCAAGCUCGAGGGCAGCCCGCCUCCUCUGCCCCAGACAGAAUGAGGAAAGGUGGGGGUCAUGAUGAAAAAGCAGAAUGUUAUGGAGAAGAGGGCAAGAGCUAGGAAAGUGAGCUUUUGUGUCUCCUUUUGUGAGGAGAAAGCACUGAUUGGAAUUGGGGACUUUGAGCCGCACUGGGUACUUAGCUCACUGGAGACAACAUUUGUAAAUCACUUUCCCCAAAGCUUUAAUUACAUCAUCUUGUAAACUUGUUUCAGAAGGCAAGGAGGAGCCAGAAUAGGACCCAUGGCCACUGUCAUGGCUGCAAGGUCUAGUUUAUCAAGAGUCUUUGUCUAAAAAUUCUGGCGGAAAACAUUUAAAAAUGACACUAAGUUGGAGUAUGAUUAAUUUUUCUAAAACACAAAGUCUUCUUUUUGCGGGGGAGAGGGGCUUGGACCUGCCUCAACUGAAUGUACCAGGCUCUGC